GUUGUUGCAGUUAAAAAGCUCGUAGUUGGAUUUCUGGUGGGAGCGCCCGGUCCUACCCUAACGGGUUGUGUACUGGCGGCGUCUUUCGCCAUCCUUGGGGAGAGCGUUCCGAGCAUUAAGUUGUUUGGUUCGGGAUCCUCAUCUUUUACUGUGAAAAAAUUAGAGUGUUUAGAGCAGGCAAUUGCUGUGAAUACAUUAGCAUGGAAUAAUAAGAUAGGACUUUGGUGCUAUUUUGUUGGUUUGCACACCGAGGUAAUGAUUAACAGGGACAGUUGGGGGUAUUCGUAUUUAAUUGUCAGAGGUGAAAUUCUUGGAUUUAUGAAAGACGAACUACUGCGAAAGCAUUUACCAAGGAUGUUUUCAUUAAUCAAGAACGAAAGUUAGGGGAUCGAAGAUGAUUAGAUACCAUCGUAGUCUUAACCAUAAACUAUGCCGACUAGGGAUUGGCAGACGUUAUUUGAUGACUCUGUCAGCACCUUAUGAGAAAUCAAAGUCUUUGGGUUCCGGGGGGAGUAUGGUCGCAAGGCUGAAACUUAAAGGAAUUGACGGAAGGGCACCACCAGGAGUGGAGCCUGCGGCUUAAUUUGACU
rnacentral:rRNA from 1 species